UACGUAGGUGGCAAGCGUUGACCGGAUUUAUUGGGCGUAAAGCGCGCGCAGGCGGUUCCUUAAGUCUGAUGUGAAAGCCCACGGCUUAACCGUGGAAGGUCAUUGGAAACUGGGGAGCUUGAGUGCAGAAGAGGAAAGUGGAAUUCCAUGUGUAGCGGUGAAAUGCGUAGAGAUGUGGAGGAACACCAGUGGCGAAGGCGGCUUUCUGGUCUGUAACUGACGCUGAGGCGCGAAAGCGUGGGGAGCAAACAGG
rnacentral:misc_RNA from 1 species